rnacentral:misc_RNA from 1 species
GAUGAAGAACGCAGCGAAAUGCGAUAAGUAUUGUGAAUUGCAGAAUUCAGUGAAUCAUCGAAUCUUUGAAUGCACAUUGCGCCCGCCAGUAUUCUGGCGGGCAUGCCUGUUCGAGCGUCAUUUCAACCAUCAAGCCCCAGGCUUGUGUUGGGGACCUGCGGCUGCCGCAGGCCCUGAAAACCAGUGGCGGGCUCGCUGUCACACCGGGCGUAGUAGAUUUUAUCUCGCUCAGGGCGUGCUGCGGGUUCCGGCCGUUAAAAAGCCUUUUUUACCCAAGGUUGACCUCGGAUCAGGUAGGAAGACCCGCUGAACUUAAGCAUAUCAAUAAGCGGAGGA